rnacentral:rRNA from 1 species
UGAGCAACCUGCCCCUCUCUCUGGGAUAACCCCGGGAAACCGGAGCUAAUACCGGAUACUCCGGCUGGAUCGCAUGGUCCGGCCGGGAAAGGUCCGCCGGAGAGGGAUGGGCCCGCGGCCUAUCAGCUUGUUGGUGGGGUCAUGGCUCACCAAGGCGACGACGGGUAGCCGGCCUGAGAGGGUGACCGGCCACACUGGGACUGAGACACGGCCCAGACUCCUACGGGAGGCA